rnacentral:rRNA from 1 species
UACGGGGGGGGCAAGCGUUGUUCGGAAUUACUGGGCGUAAAGGGCUCGUAGGCGGCUUUCUAAGUCAGGGGUGAAAUCCUGGAGCUCAACUCCAGAACUGCCCUUGAUACUGGAAAGCUUGAGUUCGGGAGAGGUGAGUGGAACUGCGAGUGUAGAGGUGAAAUUCGUAGAUAUUCGCAAGAACACCAGUGGCGAAGGCGGCUCACUGGCCCGAUACUGACGCUGAGGUGCGAAAGCGUGGGGAGCAAACAGG